UUCGUUGUAGUCUAGUUGGUUAGGAUACUCGGCUCUCACCUGAGAAACCUGAGUUUAAUUCUCGACAACAGAA
rnacentral:tRNA from 1 species